CUGAUAAUUGUUUUUUCUUUAACCCAGAUGACGCGGAGGUGUUGGCCAUUGAGCGGAUUGGGCGUCGAUGAGAAACCGGGAAUAGAAAUGAAGAACCAAGUGAAUAAUACUAAGAAAGCUGGAUGCAGUCUAGUUUCCUGUUUCGGCAGUCGAGCUGCUGGAUGUCAACUGAAAAGAUUGCAAUAACCCGGAAAAAAUUCGAUGCUGCACCAGGAUGACGCGGAGGUGUUGGCCGUUGAGCGGAUUGGG